CUUACCUGCUGCCGUUGCUUCUUCUUCUUCAACUACAAAGGUCCACUCCUCCCAGUUGGGCAUAUACCCGAUGGACAAAAUUUCAAGCUUGGGGAAAGCAACUGCCUCUGGAGAUCCGAAAUUACCCACCCCCAAGCCAAUAAAUUCAGGUCCAAUCUUGGUGACUGCAGUUGCUCCCUGGAUUCUCAGGAAUUUCAAGUUGGGAAGGUGCCCGAUUGGAGGAAGUUGCGUAUAGGAUUUGCAAUGUUUAAGUAUCAAGUAUUUUAGUGAAGGCAAAUGUCUAGCAGCACCUAACCAGGUAGGAAACCUCCGACCACAAAAUCGCUUCAAAACUAGAGCUUCCAGGUUUUUUGGAGGUAUUAGCUGAUCAAAUACCUUCUCAAUAUUACUAAUAACCUCUUCAGAGUAUGGUUCCUCCGCACAUUCAGUGCAAUAUAAAUAUAAUUCUUUAAGAUGCUUUUUAUUAGUUAGUAGUGAAUCUAUACUGCAAACAGCAGAUGCUUCCAAUUUUGUAAUAAGAAGCUGCCUCAACUGCAAAAGAGGACCCAACUCUUCUAGAUUCCAUCCAUCUUGCAUUGCAGUGCUAUAAUCACUUCUACCACAAAUUGGAAAUCCAUCUAAAUUAUUGAGGUAUUUCAAACCCCCAAUACCUUUUGGAACCUUAUUUAUUGCCGAACCUUUGAGACCAAGACUCCUUAAGUUAAAUAAUCUACAGAUUGCUAAAGGAAGGCUGUGCAAACUGUCACACUUGUUCAAUUCCAAUACCUCAAGGUUUUUGAGAGAACCAAUAGACUCCGGAAGGCAAGUUAUGCUGGUGUCAUUAAGAUUCAACAAGCGCAAAUGAAUCAAACUUCCAAUAUAAUCUGGAAUAUUUUCUACACUUGACCCACUUAAAUCCAAAACACGAAUAUAUGGAAAUCGCUUGAAAAUUGAAGAUUCAACUACCAAUGACUUGCCACAGAAAUUUAUUGAAGUUCUCACUUUGAGUUGAUGCCUGUCCACAAUAGGUAAAGAGAUCAUAUCAUUGCAUGUUACAACUGACACACGUCGCAAUUUAGAUAUACUCCUGCAAUCCAACGAUCGUGGGUCUCCAAAGAAACACUCUUCUCUUGAUAAAUGCUGAGCAAGUUGUCUUAAGAGGUCAUGCAUUGUGCACCUGUAUGGUUCUGCAUACCGAGGAUCUGGUAGGAGGAGGUUCCUUGAGACCAACUCACAGAAGUAUUCUUCUGCUGUAUCUUCUAGUAGUUGGUUAUUUUGCUUUUCAAUAAAGCCCUCGGCAAUCCAGAGCCUGACAAGAUCAUCACAACGUAGUGUCCAAUCUUCAGGAUACAAAGCACAGUAAAGAAAACAUUGCUUCAGGUUUUGUGGUAGCUGAUCAUAACUCAAGUACAAAGCACCUCUGAGUUCAGCAGGGAGCUUACUUAUGGACCAAGCAUCAUUGUCUAGAAUCUUCUGCCAUUCACUCUCUGUUGUCUCCUUCACUGCAAGAACACUAGCCAUAGUCCUAAUUGCAAGAGGAAGGCCACCACAUUUUCGAACAAUUUCCAUUCCUUUGUCCUGCACGUUGUGCACUUCUUUCUCAUCAGAUAUGUUCAUACUCUUCCAAAGCAGCUCCCAUCCUACUUCCACUGACAUCAAUUCGACUCGAUGCAUGUGUUCCACUCCAAUUGCCUUUGCAACUGUAUCAUGUCGAGUUGUUGUUACAAUUGUUACUUGAGCUGCAGCAUUGAGUGGAGUUCUUAGUAAAUUGGUCCAUACAUCAGACUCCCACAAGUCAUCCAACACAAGGAAAAAGCUGUCUCCUUCAAUGGCUUCUGCAAGUUUGGCUUGAAGCUCUCCGAUGCUUUCACAAUUUUCUUUGUCCACUCCAACAUUUCGAAGUAUUUCAUUCAAUAGAGCAACUUGAGAGUACUGUUGGGAAACGCAAAUCCAUGCAUACUUCUUAAAGUUACCCUUCACUCUUUGAUCAUUGUAUAUUUUCUGAGCUAGUGUUGUUUUUCCAACUCCUCCUGUUCCAACAAUUGCCAUCUUGUAAGCCUUCUUGUCCUUGUGUUCUAGCACCAACCCUACCAAUCUAUUGGUAGCAUGUAUGAUCUCUUUUCCAACAAGAUUUGGUUCUACCAGGUGGGAUGUUUUUCUCAUAUUUGAUACUAAUACUCUAUCAAUAGGUUCUGUUUCAAACUUGAAAUUUGUACCUAACUCUUUAAUCAUCUCUAUUCUUUUGUUGAGGCCUCUAAUCUGUACCGCAAUCUCAUGACGUGUCUUUAGAUUCAAAAAGCAAGAGAAAGUUGCAAAUCCAUUGCAUGUAAUUAAUUUUCUUGAUAAUGAUGAAGAGUUUUCUCCUAGUAGAUUGCUCCCUUUAAACCUGACCAUGUCAAUUAUAUCAUCAGCAUCAUACAUUGCAUCCUUCAGCUCACCAAUCCAAUUACUAACUGCUAAGUCUUCAAUCCUCCUCCGGUCAGCAUCUUUCAGAAAACACUGUAUUUGUGUCAUUGUUCGUUGCAGGUCACUAAGCUCUUGUUUAACACCUAGUAUCUGUAUCGCUUCCUCUAUAAUAAGUUCUUGGAGCUUUUGGAUGCAUGAUCCCGCAAAAGAAAAUAAUAUGGUUGCCAUUAGGUGAAUCCCUGAAGCAGACCCACCACCACCAAUAUAUCUUUUCAGAGCUAAGAAAACCAGUAAUAUGAGGGACUAGCUAGUGAGUUUCCUUGAGCAAGCUUUCACAGUGUUAUUCCAUAAACGAUUGAACUUGGACCUGAAAUUUAUAAAGUUUACAGCAGUAUGUCAAAUCCGUACGCACUUGAAAGAUGUACAACACCACAUGCUCCUAUGAGUACUCAUUAUAUUCUGUAAACUACUACUUGACAUAAUCUCACACUGAUUGCGAAGAGAAUAAAGGAUAUGUAAAUGAUGAAAGCACCUAGGAAAAAUUCACACCAUGCACUAUCGGGCAGAUAGACAAAACCAUCUUGGGUGGACUUAGGUGCAUCCAUCCAUGAGUUUUAGACUCCCUUAUGCACUAUGUUCCAGACUAAAACCCAUGUAAUGGAUCUUUGAUUUCCUUUCACACUAGCCAUUUGUGGAUAUUAUUCUUGUUUUUUGUGCAUUUAUAACUUCAUCUACAAUAAGGACUGAUUGCUAUGCAAAUAGGUCUAUCCUGCUAGUAGAUAGCACCUAGCCUUCCGGAACUCAGGCUUCUGCUUGUAGUUGACUGAGUUUACAUGUUUUUGCUUUGACUUGCCAUUAUAUCUGUAUGUGGAAAGUAUACUCCUUAUUUUUUCAGUGUAAUUGUCUCUUGUGUGCACAUUUAUUUCUGACUUAAGCGCUAGUUCCUGCUCAGCUAAAUAGAAAGAUAAACAUCAAAUGACUCAAACUGACUGAUUUGCAUAUUCUAGCAAUGUUUCCUUUCUAGCAACCUAACUGGUCACAUAUUUCCAUGCUCACAUAUUUCCAACCCUCCUCUCAUACUAAAAACAGCUUUAAAUUUUCAAGAGUUGGUCGACUCAUUUAGCUUCUUUCAUCCAUAAAUCUACUCCAGAAAAUCUGACCUUUCAAGUGCUAGUAAUGUUACAUUGCAAGUCAAAAGAAUAUAGGAGGCUGCAGGAUUUCAUUUCCAUGAAUGAGAAAUGGACGUAACUUGUAACAAUUCUUGGAAGAAGUUAGAAGAUUCCAGUGCGCUCAAGUGCACAAGCCUUACCUGAAUCAAAGACCUAUUUUCAACAGGCCUGACUGACAAUAGAAGUCAAGGAUGCAAGAUCAUCCACCAGCAGCAACAACAGUUUGUUUCUGAAGGUCAACUCAAUACUGAAGGAAGAGGAACAAAGACUAAUUGCUCAAAUAAUAUCCCUCAAUGAACUGAACAUCGAUAGCCAAUAUGUGGUCGUCACCAUGAAAGAGUCACGAUUACUCUGCUUGAAAGGGAAAGAAAAAUGGAUAAAACUGAGAAGGGUAGUUGAAUUGAGAAAUAAAGAAUCUCUGGAUAGUACGGACCUUUGUGCACUACCAGAACUGCAAGCAGAUGACCUUAUUCUUCCUUGACUGGAGAAGACCCAGAGGAUCACUUCAAGCAGCAGUGUGAGGCAGUAAAUUCGACAGAAUUCACAAUGGUAUCCCUCGAAAAAAAAAUAUCAACCGACAAUGAUACACGCCUGCAACUGCAACACAAGUUUGUGAGACUACUGACACUUCGUAACUAUGAAUUAAUCUUAAUGGAACACAUUGUGCUAACCAAUUAAUAGGCAGAUACGGAAUGAAGGAAAUACACCUCUUUCAAAGACAGUACUGUCUCCCAAACCAGAUUGCCUCGCAUCCUCCUCUCCUUUUCCUCACUAUAGCAGAGGAAAUGUGAUGAGUAUUUAUCACUUCAAGCAAUUCACCAUAAUGAAAUAGAAACAGAUAAUUAUGAUGAGCCCAUCACCACAAAAAUGAGUAGUACAGUGUGGUAUGAGCUAUAAGGAGUUAGCAUUCUGUCAUUUUAUUUUGUGAUUUAAAACGAUGUAAUAAAUUGGGACAAUAUUUAGUAUCAUGCAAAAGAAACCUCUACUAUGAUUGUUUGAUUCACCAUGAGCAGACUUAUGGUAAUGACGAUGGAAACCAUGAGCAGAGCAAAAAACAUACCCUGAGCAGAGGCAGAGCAAACCAGAGCUAAAGGACGCAAAUCAGCAGAGAGGUAGCUGGAAACUGGAGAGCCAUCACUUCCUGGCUAAAAGCUUCAUCUUCCUUGUGUCACAUGAAUUGUGCAGCUGAAGGAGCAACUACUCUUCAAUCAUCUCUCUAACAGAAAGAAAAAUGAAGUGGUGCAUAAUCAACACAUGCAAAUCAAGCUUGAGCUAGGAGGAGAAAGAUUAUGAAAUCUGAAUCGUUAUGGACUAACUGUUCAAUUCGAGCUUACCAAACUGAAAGGAUAUGAUGCAGAGACAGAGGAGGAGGAUGAAAACGCAAGGAGCAGUUCCUACUGAAGCAUCCUCUCUAUUCCUCCUCUUAUCGGCAUCACUUGAGCAUCGAGAAAAUGAAUUCUCUGGCAGAAAAUAGUGGACAAAGUAUAGAACAGAUAAAUGUGUGACAACCACACAAUCACUGAAAACCAACAGAUCACACGUUAACUCCUGGAAAAAGUGGAGACACUAGAAAAUGAAUUCUCUAGCAGAAAACAAGUGCAUGAUCAACGAAAUGAGAAGAAAUAGGUGCAUGAUGAAGACACGUAUGUGAAGCGUGACUUAGGAAGAGAGAGAGAGGAAAGAAAACAUCCGAACCCUUUAUGGACCAGACAAUCAAUUUGAGCUUACCAAAUUAAACAACGCAGAAACAGAGGAGCCAGUUGAAAACCCAAAUAGCACUUCCUACUCAACCAUCAUCCCUGUUCCUCCUCUUAUUGACAUCACUUGAGCAGCGAGAAAAUGAAAUCGUGCAGGAAGUUUGUAUGUAGAUUCACCAAUACUUCCCCCUUGCAACAGCGUUGGAUCUCAUUGAUCAGAAAAGCUUGGAAUUUCAGUGCAGUGGCAAGUGCAAUGACCUAACCUUGUAUAAGAAGAUGCAGAUAUGUCAUUGUUGAACAGGUCAUCUGUGGUUGGCGUCGGCGGCCGAGCGGGUCAAGGUCUCCGUCCUCUAGCAUGGGGAAGGGGCCAUGUAGCGUCGUCUAGCCAGUGACAUGCAACUGUAACGAUGGCACGUUACACCUAACAAGGGUAUUGAAAUCUGCCUAAUCUCCAUGCCCAGACACAAGGUCAAGGUCUGUGGUAUGGCCAUCGCUGUCAAGUGUGGAAGGUGAUUGACAAACAAUUGCAACGUCCCCUUGUUCAGACAGCAGUACUACACAGGCAGUCUGAACUUGUAUAGGAAUUGUGGCAUUUUCUGGCCCGAUUUUGAAACCCAAAUUGCUGUACGAUGAAAUGAACAAAAGCACUGAACAGUCAGGCCCCUGCAAAUUUUUCCAGGAUAUUUACUUUAUUCAUUCAAUUCCACUUUGCUGAGUGUUUUUUUCUCUUUUGCCGAGGGCCAAAAUUUGCCAAGUGCCUUUGGAUAUUUUUGUCGAGUGUAAGUCUUUGCUAAGUGUUUCCACUAACAACACCGGGCAAACAUACUAACGGAUGUACACGUGGCACGUUCUUUGCCGAGUGUCCAUGCGCGUUUUUGCCUAGUGUCUUUUGAUCUGUUUACCAUGUGUCGCGUUGUUUGCCGAGUGUUUUUGUGUUGACACUCGACAAAUAGCUUCUUUGCCGAGUGCUUGAUAGAAUACACUCGGCAAAGAACUUGGCACUCGGCAAACCCACAAUUUCCAGUAGUUUUGGGAGAGGUUCUUCACGUCAGGGAGCUCAAAAACGUGUCACUUUUUAUCUUUGAAUAAGAAACCUGUGACAUUGAAUGUGGCUUUAAAGAGUAAGCUGCAAAGUGGAAACUGCUUCCGAUAAAAGUAGUUGGAACUCUUUUUUUAAAAAAAAAGCAUUAUGCUGGAAACAUAUAAACAGAAAUGAGUACGAUUUCACCCAUAUUACGUGUAAGUUGCAGGCACCGGCCAAGAUAUGAUUUUAACCUGCAUUUCUUGUCGCUACUACAGAAUGAAUCUGCCUCGCAUUUCUCCUUGGUUGGUUCACAGAAGAUGCAUGACUAAAAUAAGUAAGAGCAGUUUUUUUUAUAUACAUUAAUGUUGGUAGGAACAGCGAAACAAGAGCUCACUUUUCCUAGCAGCAACAGAAAGCACGCAACAGCCGAUGCAGUUCUUCGCAUUACAAGAUCACAAUCUACAACAGGUGCAAGUUCAUCACAGAAUUAAUUGAGAAACUCAAGUAGCAGUGUAGCACACGUUUUCAUUCAUACAUACACCACAAGGAUGGUCAAACACUUAAAUAACAAGACGCAAGCCUUCCCACAGUCUAGAAACAAGAGAGGAAGCCGUCUGCUCAUCUUGAUUAAUUGCUGUGGUUAGCUCAUAUUUUAUUCUUUUUAUUGAUGGAAGUGGUUUGCUCAUCCUGAUUGCUGUGGUUCUUGAACAAUCAUUCUCCAGUCCUUCAUCCAGAAGCAUGCACUCCUUCCAUGCAUACAACGUCAUGUAGCUUCACGACCAAUCACAUGAUUAAGGAAAGAUAGCUCCAGUCACUUCCAAUGGCAAGAAAACAGAGCACGAAUGGAAAGCGGAGGAGAAAUAAAUAUGCAAAAUAUCCAGUGAAUGGUCAUACCUUGCACAUUCGUAGCUAUAUAAAAGUAUCACUCCUCCCAAGGGUAGACAUCCAGGUCUUCUCCGUGCAGCUGUUGGUGACGCUCUUGGAGUCCAGCUAGCCAUUGUGAGGAGACAUCUUCCAUAUCCUCUGUCAGAAACAGCUGGUGCAACUUGUCCAAACCCUCAACACACCUCAGAGCUUCACAUAGACCUACACGCAACAGUUUCAUCUGGGGAAUAUUUGAGAUCCUCUCCAGGCAUUCACAAUAUGAGACUGAAAGUUCCUCAGACAGAAAUGGGAAGUUCUCCACCACCUUAAUAUUGUCCAUGAAUUUUAAUCGGAGCUCCUUCAAGCUGGUGGCUUCCUGUCCAAGCUGCCGUGGAAGAGCUCUCAGCUUGGGGCAGCUGUAAAAAUCCAGGCCCUUCAAACGUGGCAGCAGCUGCAUCCUUGGAGGUGGGGCUUCCCCCUUUUGCUUUGCAGCAGCUCCAUCCUCUCCACCUUCCUUACCUGCUGCCGUUGCUUCUUCUUCUUCAACUACAAAGGUCCACUCCUCCCAGUUGGGCAUAUACCCGAUGGACAACGUUUCAAGCUUGGGGAAAGCAACUGCCUCUGGAGAUCCGAAAUUACCCACCCCCAAGCCAAUAAAUUCAGGUCCAAUCUUGGUGACUGCAGUUGCUCCCUGGAUUCUCAGGAAUUUCAAGUUGGGAAGGUGCCCGAUUGGAGGAAGUUGCGUAUAGGAUUUGCAAUUUUUAAGUAUCAAGUAUUUUAGUGAAGGCAAAUGUCUAGCAGCACCUAACCAGGUAGGAAACCUCCGACCACAAAAUCGCUUGAAACGUAGAGCUUCCAGGUUUUUUGGAGGUAUUAGCUGAUCAAAUACCUUCUCAAUAUUACUAAUAACCUCUUCAGAGUAUGGUUCCUCCGCACAUUCAGUGCAACGUAAAUCUAAUUCUUUAAGAUGCUUUUUAUUAGUUAGUAGAGAAUCUAUACUGCAAAC
rnacentral:lncRNA from 1 species